GACACACUGUCUCUGUCUCUCUCUGAUCUGAGAGCUCUCUGACACACUGUCUCUCUCUGAGAGAGACAGUGUGUCAGAGAGCUCUCAGAUCAAAGAGAGAGAGACAGAGACAG